UCCUUCUAGAGAUCUUGGCCCAGAGAAGC
rnacentral:piRNA from 1 species